rnacentral:lncRNA from 1 species
GUGAACAUGACAGCAUCACAGUGGAAAGACCAAUUCUGUAGCGGAGAAGUCCAAGUGGCCUUACCAAGACUCGAAGAGAUGACGACCUCACAUGCCUGUUGAUCUCAUCCACCCACUGGUGACAGAUGGAACUUGGAGAGAUGAUCAGAGUUGCUCUUGUUGACACUGGUUCCAUUGCAACAAGGCAGUGGGGGCAGUAAAAAGGCUUGAUCUUCAGAUUUUUCUCAUCAUAAUUCACACACUUUGCAUGUUGCCACAGGUGACACUUCAGGCAUUGAACACGAGGCUUACGAUCUAUCUGAUCAAGUUCACCACAUAUACACUCAAAGCGGUAAUCAGAGGUGUUAAAGGGACUCAUGGUAUUAGAAGGUGGUACAUCACUAUCAGCAUGAUUUAGAGAUUCAGCACAGUCCUCUGUUUCAUGUUCUUGGUUGAAUUCAGAGAUACAUGUACUUUUAGACAUAGCAACAUCAGUUAUUCCAGAGUCGCUAGUAGCUGGACAGUGACCUUGUGAAUCGGGAUUGAUAAAUGGUUGACUUUUUCCUUUUUUUGUGGAUGGAACAAGCUUUUUCCUCAAUUUACUGCGAUUUCUCCUGGACUUAUAAUAAUAAUAGUAAGGAUCAUCAUCAUCAUCAGAGGUGUCUGAUGGCAAGUAUUCAGAAUCUGUGUCCUUGUUCCCUGAUUUUCUAGUUUCUUUCUGAAU